UUGUCCUACACCCUCCCUCCUCCUGGGAGAACGAACCGUAGCAGAGUGGUCACCAGAUCGAGUUCUCUCAUCUCACCUGUGACGCAACAUAUUGGAUGCCAACCGCCGUUAAACCACAACGAAGAAGAAGGAUGGGCUGGGCGGUUGGAAACGAAAGUAAACUGUAGCGCUCUUCUUCGGCUUGCUCGCUCGUCUGGAGUGUCUGAAAACGGACCCGUCCAUGGCCACCCGCUGUCCAGCUGAGAUCCUGAAAAUGGCAGAAAUAUGCAGAGAAGAAGAAGGAAAAGAGGAAGAUGAAGAAGAAAACAACAGAGAAGCGGGUAUGUAAUCAGUCCAAAGGAUUGUGAUAUUGUCUACUGAAGUAUCACCAGCUUUAUUCAUUUUAAUAUACUCCUCCACGUCAUAUUUUGCAAAUAAAUUCAUUCAAAAUCC